UUUUUACAGGAAAGGAUCAUUGAUGUGGGCUUGAAACAUGGUGCCUAUGAAUGGGAUGUACACUCUGCGGGCCAUGGAAAGAACUUUCCUCUGACAGCUGGAGACAGCCUUCUGUGUGGCAGGUGCCACUGACCUGAGUAAUUCUGGCGUUGGAGAGCAAAGCAAUCGGUGGUCGAGGUCGGGACUGCAAGCAACUUCCAAAAUGUUGAAAGAUUAUGAACAUCUAAUAAACCAGGACCUGCAUGUAAGCUGUUUUGUCAAGGUCAUAUCAGAUGAAAGUCAGGACAUGUCGUUGGAGCCAAUGACUUAAAGGGAAAGGAAGUACACACUGGAGAGACACCAAGAUGUGGGAGUGGUCAAAGAGAGUUGGGUGCUCUUAGCUAAGUCCCUUAAGUUCAUCAGGGCCCAGAUGCCUCAUUUAUA